CUGAUACACGCCGAAAGCCAACUCUACUCCGUGGCUUCUCCGGAAAACCGGAGUUACUAUUCACUUAAGUGAAAACUAAUAAUCGCGUAACUUCUCUAUUUUAGCUCAUUUUCUCCUGAAACUUGACGAGUACUUAUGUAAUUAAAUUACACACAUAAACAUCAUCAACAGAGAGUUUAGUUGCACUGUAAAAAUCUCAGUCCUUAUAUUU
rnacentral:lncRNA from 1 species